rnacentral:rRNA from 1 species
GCUCGAGUGGCGAACGGGUGAGUAACACGUGAGUAACCUGCCCUUGACUUUGGGAUAACUUCUGGAAACUGGGGCUAAUACCGGAUAGGAGCUCCUGCUGCAUGGUGGGGGUUGGAAAGUUUCGGCGGUUGGGGAUGGACUCGCGGCUUAUCAGCUUGUUGGUGGGGUAGUGGCUUACCAAGGCUUUGACGGGUAGCCGGCCUGAGAGGGUGACCGGCCACAUUGGGACUGAGAUACGGCCCAG